UACGUAGGGUGCGAGCGUUGUCCGGAAUUAUUGGGCGUAAAGGGCUCGUAGGCGGUCUGUCGCGUCGGGAGUGAAAACUCAGGGCUUAACCCUGAGCCUGCUUCCGAUACGGGCAGACUAGAGGUAUGCAGGGGAGAACGGAAUUCCUGGUGCAGCGGUGGAAUGCGCAGAUAUCAGGAGGAACACCGGUGGCGAAGGCGGUUCUCUGGGCAUUACCUGACGCUGAGGAGCGAAAGUGUGGGGAGCGAACAGG
rnacentral:rRNA from 1 species